rnacentral:rRNA from 1 species
CGGGUGAGUAAUGUCUGGGAAACUGCCUGAUGGAGGGGGGUAACUACUGGAAACGGUAGCUAAUACCGCAUAAUGUCUGCGGACCAAAGCGGGGGACCUCCGGGCCUCUUGCCAUCGGAUGUGCCCAGAUGGGAUUAGCUAGUAGGUGGGGUAACGGCUCACCUAGGCGACGAUCCCUAGCUGGUCUGAGAGGAUGACCAGCCACACUGGAACUGAGACACGGUCCAG